rnacentral:rRNA from 1 species
GAUGAACGCUGGCGGCGUGCCUAAUACAUGCAAGUCGAGCGAACGGACGCGUAGCUUGCUUCUCUGAUGUUAGCGGCGGACUUGUGAGUAACACGUGGAUCCCCUACCUAUAAGACUUUGAUAACUUCGGGAAACCGGAGCUAAUACCGGAUACUAUUUUGAACCGCAUGGUUCAAAAGUGAAAGACGGUCUUGCUGUCACUUAUCGAUGGAUCCGCGCUGCAUUAGCUAGUUGUUAAGGUAACGGCUUACCAAGGCACCGAUGCAUAGCCGACCUGAGAGGGUGAUCGGCCACACUGGAACUGAGACACGGUCAAGACUCCUAAGGGAGGCAGCAGUAGGGAAUCUUCCGAAAUGGGCGAAAGCCUGACGGAGCAACGCCGCGUGAGUGAUGAAGGUCUUCGGAUCGUAAAACUCUGUUAUGAGGGAAGAACAUAUGUGUAAGUAAAUGUGCACAUCGUGACGGUACCUAAUCAGAAAGCCACGGCUAACUACGUG